CGGGGGCGCUCCGGGCUGGAGCGGGGCGAUGCCGGGACGGGACGGGAGCAGGGAUGCUCCCGGGGGAAGGACGGAAGGAUCCCGGUGCGGACGGCUGGAGCUCGGCUGGCUUUGUCGCGCUGUCCCCGCCGGUGGCACCCAGCCGCAGCUCCGGUAUCCCGGUGGGAAAGCGGCGCUCCGGGAAAGCGGCUGGGCUUGGCCCCGCUCCAGCUCCCGGUCCUGCUCCUCCGCCGAGCGUCCCCCGGUGGCUCCAGCACCGUGUCCCGGUCCGAGCGUCCCUCGGUGGCUCCAGCACCGUGUCCCGGUCCGAGCGUCCCUCGGUGGCUCCAGCACCGUGUCCCGGUCCGAGCGUCCCCCGGUGGCUCCAGCGCCAUGUCCCGGUCCGAGUUUCUCUCGGUGGCUCCAGCGCCGUGUCCCGGUCCGAGUUUCUCCCGGUGGCUCCAGCACCGUGUCCCGGUCCGAGUUUCUCCCGGUGGCUCCAGCGCCGUGUCCCGGUCCGAGCGUCCCCCGGUGGCUCCAGCGCCGUGUCCCUCCUGCCGAGGCUCAUCCCGAGUCCCGUGUCCCGUUCUCUCCCGCUCCCGCGGCUCCGGGUCUCUCUCCGGUGCCGGUGCUCGCCCUGGGGGGCUCCGAGCGUUCCCCGGCUCUCUGGGCGCCCCGAUCCCGGCAGUUCCCGGGUGGGAUCCGGGUGGGAUCGGAGCCCCCGGGCCGUGGGGAAGGGAAGGGGAGCGCUCCGGGUCCCUGCAGCGCGGGGCUGGAUCGGAGCCGGGGGGGUUUGGAACGCAGCGAUAACGGAGACGCCGUGGGGAGAAGCGAGGCGGGAACUCGCGGGCUGGAGCUGCGGGGAGCGCGGUGGGAAGGCUCGGGAGUCCUUCGGAGAUCCCGGAGGGAUGGGCUGGAAAACCAAACAGGGGUGGGGAUGGGUCAGCCCCACGCCAGGGCUCGAGCGUGGAUUGUCCGAGUGUCCAGGAGGUGUCCGGAGCCCCCAGGCUGGGCCCGGGCGUGGAAAACUUCCCAAGGGCCGGGAUCGGGGAUGAGGGCUGGGCUUGCCACCUGCCCACGGAGAGGAGAACAGAAGAGCCAGAAUGCCAAGGGAUGGAUGCCCUCGGGGAUGGAUGCCCACAGGGAUGGAUGCCCACUGAUCCUACUGGAAUGCCCAGGGGAUGGAUGCCCAGGGGAUGGAUGCCCACUGAUCCCACCAGAAUGCCAAGGGGAUGGAUGCCCACAGGGAUGGAUGCCCACUGAUCCCAAUGGAAUGCCCAGGGCUUGGAUGCCCACAGGGAUGGAUGCCCACUGAUCCCACCAGAAUGCCAAGGGGAUGGAUGCCCAGGGGAUGGAUGCCCACUGAUCCCACCAGAAUGCCCAGAGGGAUGGAUGCCCACUGAUCCCACCAGGAUGCCCACAGGGAUGGAUGCCCACUGAUCCCACCAGGAUGCCCACAGGGAUGGAUGCCCACUGAUCCCACUGGAAUGCCAAGGGAUGGAUGCCCACUGAUCCCACCAGGAUGCCCACAGGGAUGGAUGCCCACUGAUCCCACCCUGAUGCCAAGGGAUGGAUGCCCACUGAUCCCACCCUGGUGCCAAGGGAUGGAUGCCCACUCAGGACUGGAAUACCCACCGGGAUGGACACCCAUUGAUCCCACUGGAAUGCCAAGGGAUGGAUGCCCACUGAUCCCACCAGGAUGCCCACAGGGAUGGAUGCCCACUGAUCCCACUGGAAUGCCAAGGGAUGGAUGCCCACUGAUCCCACCAGGCUGAGCCAUUCCCAAAAUCCCAGGAGUGGAGGCUCAUUUCUCAAAAACCCCAGAAGUGAAGCUCCGAGCCAGGAAAAAGUGGGAAAAGUUGGGAUCAGACGGGAUUGGUGAUGGAAUUUCCACAGGAGGAGAAGCCCCGAGGUCUGUGAGGAAACCAGGGGAGCUGUGGAGGAUCCCUGAAGCUGCACUGGAUCCCUGGAACUCCAGUGGAUCCCUGAAUUUGUUGUGGAUCCCCGAGGCCAUGGAGGAUCCUCAAAGUCGUGGUGGAUCCCUGAAUUUGUGGUGGAUCCCUCAAGCUGUGGAGGAUCCCUGAAGCCCUGGCUGGAUCCCUUUUUUUUUCCCUCUUAAAAAUCUUGGAGAAUUUUCCUCAAAAAAAUUCCAAGGGGGUCACUUGAGGGGGUCAUUCCUGCCAUGACCCCAUAAUUCCACCCCCCCUGGGAAUUCCUGCAUUUUCCAUAAAAACCUUGGAGAUUUUUCCUUAAAAAUCUCGGAGAUGUUUCCUUAAAAAUUUCCUUAAAAUUCCUGCGUUUUCCUUCAAAAUCUCGGGGUGGUUUCGGCCACCCUAAAUCCCCCUUGGGGGUUCUUUUGUGGGGUUUUUUUGGGGUCAGGGCGUGGCUGACCCCAUUGUCCCUCCCCAGGUGUCCUGCUGGCCGCGUGCCACGCGCUGGACAACAGCACGGCCGGCCGGAGCGCUCCGGUGGCGGCGGCGGUGAGGUCGCACUUCAACGAGUGCCCCGACUCGCACCGGCAGUUCUGCUUCCACGGCACCUGCCGCUUCCUGGUGCA